AUGGCAGGGUGCCGACAGACAGGGUGCUCAUUCUGCAACGGGAGGCUUGCUCUGCAACAGGGAGACGUUCAUCGGUUUCCAGCGCCGCUGUGUUGUCCCAGCUCUGAGGCCGCUCACUCUGUGGUAGGGCAGGGAUCAAACUGCUCCUGUCGGAGAAGACCAAAGCCACCUUUUCUGCUUCUCCUCCCCAAACUGUUGAGGACCCAGGUUAUAAUGCGAAGAGGCACCCCAAAGGUCCAAUGUCUUCUGUCUGAGGUCAAAGAGGAACUGUUGGAGAGGCUGUGCUUGACCACAAAACGUAGUGUCUUGUGAAGCCUUGCACAGGAGAUAGAAGCUUGCAUAGGCUCCACCAUGCAGCUGGAAUAUUCCUUUCAAAUCCUUUCUCAUUUCCUUAUUCAAACCAAAACUAAUUUUCACAAGAAUAUGUAAAGCCAUUUCUGUUAUUUGAAAGAUAAUUUUCCAUGAAGUUUUGCUUCAGUAGUACUUAUUUCAUCAAAGAUUUAUUUCUUAACUCCUAGAAAUGUAUUUCCUUCCCUUUUUUUCCCUCAACCUUCUUGUACUCAGAAACAGUCUCUUGAGGAUCACUUUCAAGGGCGGGAGAACUUCUACUAAGUAAAAAUAACUCUCAGGAAUACGCUAUGUUUGAAAUUUUUCAGUUCCAAACAAAAUCUCAGGAUGUAGUAGCAUCCUAAAAGAGGCAUUUGGGACAAAAAUGUUUGAUCAGCUUGAGUAAGGGGUUGUCAUCUCUUGUUACGGACUUUUCAUUGUACUAUAUGACUCCAACCUGUUCCUACACAUCCACUCGUUCACAGUAGACCUACUUCCUUCUCUAAGGGCUCUUUCCCCUCCCAUCUCUUCCAAGUUUUCAGUUCUUUGCUUACUUCAGUCACAUUUCCCUUCCCUCAAAACUUCAACUCGAGCCAUCCAUUCCCAAAGUCCUCUCCCCCUCUCCAUUUUUCCCUGCCAACCCUAGGCCAUGCUAAGGCCUUUUCUGGGAAAAGGCAAUGAGUGGUAGCUAGAAGUUUUAGAAGAUCUGUCCCAAAUGAUCCCAUCGCAGAAGAAAUCUAGGAAGGGCAGGAAGCAACCAAUCAAGCUAAAUUAUGAGCUCACAAAAAGGAAGGGCAGAGAAAGCAGAUCAGGUUUCCACGGGGUAAGAGCAGAAGUACCGCCUAGCCCGAGCAGAAGGGGACAAACACAAAAAAGCCAGUACACCAAAUAUAACUUCACCAGCACAAUCAUCGCAAGUAACAGCAAAUCAUUCAGUUAAGAACAUCAGUGGUAACAGCAAGCCAAAAGCAAAUGGAUUACUCAUCAGAGGGAGAAAGCUAUUGACUUUUUACAAGGGCAUGCAGCGAUAGGACAAGGGGUAAUGACUUUAAACUGAAAGAGGGUAGAUUUAGGCUAGAUAUUAGGAAGAACAGCUUGCCCAGAGAAGCUGCGGCUGCCCCAUCCCUGGAAGUGCUCAAGGCCAGGCUGGAUGGGGCUUUGGGCAACCUGGUCUAGUGGAAGGUGUCCCUGCCCAUGGCCGGGGGGUUGGAAUAGGUGAUCUUUAAGACCCAAACCAUUGUAUGUCUACAAUGCCAAGGAGGCUCAGAGUGCCUCAGGCCUUUUUUGCACCAGUCUUGGCUAAACGAGGUCACUUGCGAUCAGGUGAUUGACAUAAUACAUAUUAAUGACAAGGGAAUAAGGUUUCAGCCCAGACUGGGACAGAACCAGUUGCGAGAGUGCUUUGAUAACUUGGAGCUGUUCAAACCAGCAAACUGGCUGGACUUCACACCAGGGUAGUGAAGGAAGUGGCUCAGACAGCACGGGAAACAAAGUGUCUAUCUCUGAGAGCUCAGGGAAGCUAGCCAAGGGCCCUGCUGACAGAAAAAGGCAAAACUGGUGCCUAUCUUUAAAAAGGGCAUUUAUAAAUAAAUAAAUAAAUAGAUAGAUAGACAGACCAGCCAAACCUUUUUUUUUUUUUUCCCCUACAAAGCACCUAGCACAAAUAGGCACAUUAUUUGUAAAGGGGUAGAAGGAAACUAUGAGAUAAGCUACUAUUAGCCCGGCCUUGUCAACAAGAAAUUGGGACAAGCCAGCGAAAUUUGGUGAUAGAAGAGCAGACCUUGUUAUGGAAGAAAGAGCAAGGGCCUCAGUCAUCUGGGCCUUGUUAGGCUCUGCACGUUUGUUAAUAAAUGAGAGAGUUCAGCUUGUGUGAAAAAUGUGGGCAGUGGGUACAAAACUGUGGAAAGAGCAGCUGGCAGUGGUUUACUGGCCAAUGGGUGGAUUAUAGGUGCAAUUUCAAAGGGAUCUGUCCUGGGAUGUUUUGUUAGCGGCCUUCAGAGAGGGCAUUCAUCGGGGAGCAACUGCAAGCAAGUACAUUGGAGAAUAAUGUAAGAAUUGAAAAUCCUCUUAAGAAAUUGCUUGGAAAGCACAAAACGUAACCGAAAAACAAGGAACAGGAGUUGGUUUUGCAGGCAGGGUUAACACAUUGCACGCACAGAGGCUGGGGCACUGCUCAGAGUGCACCACAGGCAGCAGCUGAGGGGGAACCAGAGGACAGCUGGGGGCAAUCGCUGACGGCACCGGGAGAGGUGGACAGAUCACACACAGCUGGUUGUCAUAAAGAAAGCACAUUGCAGGGACAUGGUAACAGCCAUCAGCUGCGAAAGGGCACUACAACACAGGAAGAGUAAGAGAAGACUUCCCUGGGCAGGGAGCACCAGGUUCUUCUUUCAGCAAGGAAUAUUCAGAUCAGGGGAUGAUUGAUAUUCAUAUAUAUAUAUACAUACAUAUUUCAGCAAGGAAUAUUCAGAUGCUGAGGAGGCUGUAGGGCUGCUUGGGUGCUGCCAAUCCCUGAGAGCAGGGCUAAGGGAAGCCCUACAAAAGGGAUCCAGAGCCACCAGUACAUGGGAAAACUUUUUGGUGUCCUACGUAAGAAAAGGAGCUAAAGGGAGAAAGGUCUAAGGAGUUAAUGGUGUACAAUAACUCGCUGGCAGGGACUGGAUCAAGUAAAUGAAAAUCCACCAACAACUUGCUCUUCCAUUUAUAUUCGGUAAUGACGCCAGUCCUCUUCUAAUGCACACAAGUGUUUUCUGCUCACUAGCCAUGUUCAUGUCUACAAGCGCCUAUUGAUCUGUUGUCUCUCUUCCCCUUCUUCCAAAGGAAAAAAUAACCGCACGGUUCAGUAAUGCAUGGGCUGUGCUACACGAUGAAAAUAAUCCGAGGCGCUUACACGCUGAAGUAAAUUUAGCUUAACAUAAAAAUAACCGUCACAAAUUCGAAAUGUCUGUUUUACAAUUAAUGUCAGGCGUAAAUUUUUUUUCCUAGUGUGCACCAAUUCGGCAGGCCGGCCAAAGCGAUGCAGGCACACCUUCCCGCACCGCUCCGGGUCUCGCAAAUGUCCCCUUCGACUUUCACUCCUUCCCUGCGGGCUGCCCCCGCUCCCGC
ensembl:lncRNA